CAGUUUCCUGCGUAACCUCACAAGGAAAGAGCCUCGCGACGAGCCGGAUAGCUCGUUUUCUAUUAGCGUUGUUCCGCGAUGGAGUUUCUAAUCUCCGUAAAUUGAACUUAGUAGCGUUGUGGAAAACUCUUAUGGAGAAAACACUGUGUGUUUUCUACUUUGGUUGGAGAGAUCACAUCGAAUAUCAUUGGGAUUUCAGUGGUUCUGUACGCAAGUAUCGUAUUACAUAAACAAUUGUAAAAUGGACAAAUCGGCGUUUGGAAGUAAAUAAUUGUUAAAAAAUACAAACAAAUUGAAUUCUUUAAGCUUUUUGUGUUUAAGGAAUUUAAAUGAUAAGUACAAGAUCCGGUUUUAAAGUUACGAAUAUGUAUGUUGCUCUUAUCUCGAGCACAUAACAGUAUCUCUUACAUCACAGAUAAAAGGCAUCACAAUCGAAUUUCUUGUGAAACACACGUUCUUCCUUAGUAACACUGUAGUCACGUUUCAACAGUCGGAAGCGCCGAUGAUUUACACUUAACGUAACUGAUGGUUUGUAAGCGGAACAUCGGUAAACGAAGGAAAUGGAAGGAACAGCCAGAUCUACAUCCAGAUUUAUCUGGAUUAUUAUUAGACUAAUGUUUAUCACGCUCAGGUUCUCCAUUUAGAUCCCCUAUAAAACGCAUCUGUUGCAUAUUGACGAAAUAUUGGUCACUUCCUUGUUGCUUCACACAAAGUGCUGUUUUAAGAAUUUGAACAGUUUUUUAUACAAAACUAUGUAUCACAUGAACUAAAUAUAGAUAAACGCUCGAAUAUGUAAGAUAUCUUUACUAUCUUUGUUUUCUAUUAAGAAGCUUUUAAUAUUGAGGACAUUUUUCAAUAAAAGAUGAUUUAAUCUAAUAGAAAAUAUUAGUGUUCUGUAAUUCCGUUAAUCGGAAAUGUAUCAUCGUGUGAUACUUCACGUAUUCCAAAUCACGAGGGUUUACUUUCUUUUAUUUGGAUAUCCAGUGUCUACUUAGAGGGGUUCCGACUAGAACUAAAUAUUUGAAGAGGCACGUUCCAAGGGUGAGGCGUCUAUUUCUACGCGUAUAAUCCAAGAAACCGUAUAUUGGUUCCUCCUUAAUAGACGUGUGAGGAUUCCGUUCGAUUUUAAAACUGCUACACCUACAGCUUACUAUUUUGAGAGUUAUUAUCAAGAAUGAAGCUAAAACUUCGA
rnacentral:misc_RNA from 1 species